GGAGGCAGAGGCAGGGGAAUUUCUGAGUUGGAGACCAGACAGACUGUCUACAGAGUGAGUUCCAGGAUAGCCAGGGUUACACAGAGAAAAAAAAAAAAAAAAAAAAACCCUGUCUCAAAAAACCAAAACACACCAAAAAAAAAGAAAAGAAAAAAGAAAAAAAAAAAGAGGUAAUGUAUUAAAAUUAAAAGUACAACAUAAAGUAAAAUGGUAAGUCGAUGAGGCAUUGUCAGAAGGAAUAGGUAAGUGGCAGGGCUUCCAUAGGGAGGGAUCUCUUUGGGCUGUAGUUAUCUGAGACAGCAAGAGUAGUCUGAACUGGUCUAAAAUCAGGAGAAAUCACUUAAAUAUCUGAGUUGGGUUGGUCUUGUAUAAGGAUAGUGAAUGUUGUUUGUCUUUGUCCUCAUUUCUAAUAUUCUGUCUAUGAUUAGAAGUGAUUAAAUGCCAGUAUUUCUGUUUCUGGACUAUAUUACCCAGACUUAUCUAGAAGCAACACUCAUACAUUUUCUUUGUCAGUUAAAGUAAAUUAAUCCUUCCCCCUUCUACUUUUCAUAGAAGAGAGAUAGAUGAUGGUUUGUAUGAUGGGAACCUUGAGUAGAGAGACAGAUGAAUGACCAGAGUAGCAUCCAUGUUCCUGGUAAUGAUUAGCAGGAGGGAAGUAGGAGGGAUCUGUUAGGUUAGUUAGGUUUCUGGUGCUGUGAUAAACCAUCAUGACCAAAAGCGGCUUGGGGAGGAAAGGGUUUAUUUCAUUUUACAGUUUCUGGUCCAUCAUCCAGGGAAGUCAGAGGCCACAGAGGAAUUUCCUGGCUUGUACCCAUGGCUCACUUGGCCUCCUUUCUUUUCUCUUUUUUUCUUAUAAAAUAAAUAAAUUUAGAAUUAUUUGAUGUGUAUGAAUGUUUUGCCUGCAUGUAUGUAUGUGCACUGUGUGUGUGCAUGGAGGUCAAAAGAGAGUGAAGAGUUUCUUGGAUGUGGAGUUACAGAUGUUUGUGGACCACCAAGUGGGUGCUGGGAACUAAGCCCAGAUGUCUGCAAGAGUAACAAGUGCUUUUUUGUUUCUUUUUUAAAGAUUUGUUUAUUUUAUGUGUGAGUAUACUGUUCCUGUCUUCAGACACACCAGAAAAAGAUCAGAUUUCAUUGCAGAUGGUUAUAAGCCACCAUGUGGUUGUUGGGAAUUGAACUUUGGAAGAGCAGCCUUUAACCGCUGAGCUUUCUCUCCAGUGUCAAACCUGUUUUUUUUUCCCUUUUUUCUUUUUUUAAAGAGUUAUUUAUUUAUUUUAUCUAUAUGAAUACACCAUAGCUGUCUUCUGACGCACUCAGACGAUGGUAUUGGAUCCCAUUACAGGUGGUUGUGAGCCACCAUGUGGUUGCUGGGAAUUGAACUCAAGACCUGUGGAAGAGCAGCUAGUACUUUUAACUGCUGAGCCAUCUCUUCAACCCCCUCAAGCCUGUUUUCUUAUCUAUCCAGGACCACCUGCACAGGGGUGAUAUCACUCCUAGUGAGCUAGGUCCUCCUACAUCAAUCAUUGCCUGUAGGUCAGUCUAUGGAGCUGUUCUUUUAAUUGAGAUUUUCUUCCCAUGUACCUAGAGAGCUUGUUUGUUUUUUCUUAAAGCAGAAGAGAUGGGAAACACCGAGAUCCCAUCUGUCUUCACCCUAUUUUCUUAGGGGAAAGCGACCAUUUCUUUGUUAGCUUUUAUCCUGCCAGUGGAACCUUGCUGGGCGUUUUUUACCAAAGCACUUUGAAGGCUGCCGUGAACGAAGGCUGCCGUGAACGUAGAUCAUGUCUUAGAACCUUUUUUCUUUGUUCUAUGAGCAAAUAUUAGAAAAUGUACCUUAAAUUACCUGGCUGAGAAAAAAGAUAGCCCUGGCUGCUCCCUAAUGUUAAAUAGUACUCAGCUCUUGAUUCUGUGUCUGUAGGGCAUUUCUAAAGGAUCAAGGGGUUUUGGAGUUUCCACUAGAGACAUUAACCAGAGGGAUAUUAGGCUCCUGGUCAGUUUGAAUAUUUG
rnacentral:lncRNA from 1 species